rnacentral:lncRNA from 1 species
UUUAUUACUAAAUUUUGUUCACCUAAUCCUCUACUGAGAUUUCUACAGAGAUCAAUUCCGAGACAAAUGUUUUAAUUUUACAGAUUUGAUAUCGAUGGACAUUUAUGAUCAAUUCCAUUAAAAGGAGGUGAAGGUGGACGAUCGGCGACUGCAAUAUAUGCUGAGUACGUCAAUGGUCGCCUCCUGAAUAGGCGACCUUUGCCCUUUU